AGGGCGUCUCGGGCAGAUAGGAGACUUCAUGCACGGUGUUUUUAAGCACACCAAUGUUCUUCGAGCAGACGUGCUUGCGUGUGUAGGUCCGGUCGGUCGUGUCAAUGGCGUCAGUGAACAACACAAGGAUUUCCUUCUCGAAUUCAACACCGGAGCAAAUUCGGAGAGCUAGAAAAAGACAGCCAUCUGUUCUAAACGGAAUCAACAGCUCAUAUGAAGACAGGAACAGCGAUUACUUGUGCCCAAUAUGCUUCGAUGUUAUUGAAGAAGCUCACAUGACACCUUGUGGACACACUUUUUGCUACAAGUGCAUCACAACAGGCCUGGAAUACAGUAACCGAUGCCCAAAGUGUAAUUUUGUGAUUGAAAAGAAGGAGCAGAUCUAUCCAAACUUUUUGUUGAAUGAGCUUAUUACAAAGUAUAAGCAAAAGGCCGCUGACAAGAGGCUGAAGUUGCAAGGCAAUAACCCAGUAGUGUCAGAAUUACAUGAACUUAUUCUGCAGGAGUCUGACAGCAUGAAUUUGAAUGAUGUCUACAAUAUGCUGGAUGUUCUUUCAAAGAAGAAGCAGCAGCUGGAAGCUGAUUGUAAAGCAGCACAAGCACAACUUCUGAGAGAGUUUCUACAGCAAGUUCGCAAGCACAAGCAAGAGCAAAUGCACCAGCUUACCUCUGAGCUGAGCUUCAUUGAUCAAGACCUGAAACGGGUUGAGGAAAGUUCCAAGUCUCCAGAUAAUUGUUGGCUUGUUGAUCCUGCAUCUUGUUUAGCUGGUGGGGAUGCAGCCAGUACAGCAAAUGCAAGCACCAUGCAGGAUGGGUUCAAUGGCAGCAAGCAUGGAAGCAAGCCACAGUGGGUGCAGACCACUUUGGCAUCCCGCCGGAAACGUGUCCACCUGCACUUCGAUGACUUGGAAGACUGCUACCUCACAGCGCGGACAAAGAGCCUCAACUCCACAUCUGCUGAUGGCCUAAAGGAGUUUACAGAAAACCUUUCAAAGUUCACAAGGUACAGCAGCAUGCGCCCUUUGGCAACACUCAACUAUGCCACUGAUCUGCUCAAUGGCACCAGCAUUGUUUCCAGCAUAGAAUUUGACAAGGACAAUGAGUUUUUUGCCAUAGCUGGGGUCACCAAGAAGAUAAAGGUCUUUGAGUAUGGCACAGUUAUACAGGACAUUGUGGACAUCCACUACCCUGUCAAUGAGAUGAUGUGCAAUUCAAAGAUAAGUUGCAUCAGUUGGAGUUCAUAUCAUAAGGGCAUGCUGGCCUCUAGUGACUAUGAAGGCACUGUGACCAUCUGGGAUGCUUUUACUGGACAGAAGGUGAAAAUGUACCAGGAGCAUGAAAAGCGGUGCUGGAGUGUUGAUUUUAACAAGGUGGACACAAAGAUGAUUGCUUCAGGAUCAGAUGACGCAAAAGUGAAGUUAUGGUCUUUAUCCUGUGACCAUUCAGUGACAUCUCUGGAAGCCAAAGCAAAUGUUUGCUGUGUGAAGUUCAACCCGGAGUCGAGAUAUCACUUAGCACUUGGCUCUGCUGAGGAGGAUGGAUGCUCUAGGCUUGAUCACUGCGUCCACUACUAUGACCUAAGAAGUGUGAAGCAGCCACUAGGUGUUUUCAAAGGCCACAAGAAGGCUGUUUCUUAUGUCAAGUUCCUCAACACGACAGAGCUGGUGUCUGCUUCCACUGACAGCCAACUGAAGCUGUGGAAUAUCAGCAACCCCCACUGCCUCCGAUCAUUCAAGGGGCAUCUCAAUGAGAAAAACUUCGUUGGCCUUGCAACUGAUGGAGAUUACGUGGCAUGUGAUGGAGCUUGCCUCUGCCGCAUCACAGCCCAUGCAAGAGGCUGCGUUUCUACCAGAGAGCCCGCCUUCAGGCAUAGCGUUCGCCACCAGCGUUUCCUAGUAAACAUUACAGUUACAUACGCUGCAGUUGCCUGGAGGUGCAAGAAGCAGUCGGGGAUCUUUGAAUGCUAUCGCGUUCCACUCUUAAAGGAAGUGAAAACAAUGCUCUGUACAUUUACUACAAGGGGCUGUCCAAGCAAGUGCUGACAUUCAGGUUUGACGUGGAAAAGGACAAAAAAGAGGAAGACAGCAAUGAGUUUGUCAGUGCUGUGUGCUGGAGAAUGGGCUCCAGUGUAGUGGUAGCAGCUAACAGUCAAGGAACUAUCAAGGUGCUAGAGUUGGUAUGAAAGCUGAACUUCUGGGCACCUUGUUCGAGUUCAGACACCAUCACACCAUGCAGUUGCACAGCUAUACUCUUUGAGUUAGAAUGUGCUGCUUAGUGACUUUUAUUUUUCUGUACAUACUGUAUUCGUUUACCGAUACAUUUUGUUUUCCCAUAAAUGUUGUUUUCCAUGUGUGGACAAAAUAAAUGCACUGAACAUGUUGUAAAAACAAA